rnacentral:sRNA from 1 species
UGGGCAGCGCCAGAGAGCCCUUCCCUACCCUGCCCCGCCCAUGUGCCUCCACCCUGACCUGGAGAGACCACCUGUAGGGACAAAGAAGUGAACUUGGAGCAGGUCCACCGGCGCAUGAACAGCCUCAUGGAUGAAGACAUUGCUCACAAGCAGAUUUCCCCAGCGUCGAUUGAGCUCUCGGCCCUGGAGAUGGGGGGCCUGGCUCCCACCCAGACCUUGGAGCCGACACGGGAGUACCAGAACACCCAGCUCUCGGUCAGCACCUUUCUGCCAGAGCAGAGCAGCCAUGGCACCAGCCGGACACUCUCAUCAGGGCCCAGCAGCAACCUGCCGCUGCCGCUGAGCAGCUCGGCCACCAUGCCCUCCAUGCAGUGCAAACACAGGUCACCCAACGGGGGGCUGUUCCGGCAGAGCCCGGUGAAGACCCCCAUCCCCAUGUCCUUCCAGCCCGUGCCUGGAGGCGUCCUUCCAGAGGCUCUGGACACCUCCCACGGGACCUCCAUCUGACCGCGCCGCCUGCCCUCCUGCCCACCCUCCCACCCACCCGACCAGCAGAGCUUUUUAAUACAAGAAAACAACAACACAAACCACACACACUCGCACACACACACAUACACAGAGACUCUUUCAUUUUUCUUGUACAUAUGUGUAAAUAAUGACAGAAUGGAGUGGGGUAAAAGUGUAUUUUGAAUAUUCCCAAUUUUCGAAGUCAGUAAAAAAACACAAAAACUGUAUGAAUGACUUUGUAAAUUUUGUUCUAUAUGAAUAAAAAGGCAAAUUACUUGUG